ACAACACGUGCAGAUCCUGCAGAUGAUUUAGUCUAAAAAGCUGUUAAUGUCACGUUGAAAGCACAUCUUUCAGCUCAACUGCAAACAAAACCGACACAGUCUGAUAAAACUGAGUGUCACGCGACUCACCUAAUAAGUGAUGUCUUGUUGGCUGUAAACUGGUCCGGCUGAAGCAGAGCUCUGGGACGUGUGGACAGACAUUGACUGUAAUGAUGGACAUCUGCUCAGGGACAGUCUGUGCAAAAGUAUAACCGCUGCGGGUCACGGUGCUGGAAACUCCAGGGGGAGACCGUACUGAUAUCCCCCUUCUUCAGGCGCGCCUUCACACACACACUCCAGCAUUCACUCGUAUCGCAGAGACCUGGCUGGGAUCAAACCAGCAACCUCUGAACCGUGAGGCAGCGCUCUUACCUGUGAGCCACAGAUCUCUUGUUGGAGCACAUGAAGGAACUUAUAUCUGACUGUUUACCUGUGAUUUCCCAAUAAAGAUGUUGAAG